rnacentral:rRNA from 1 species
UACGGGGGGAGCAAGCGUUGUUCGGAUUUACUGGGCGUAAAGGGCGCGUAGGCGGCACCGCAAGUCGACUGUGAAAUCUCCGGGCUUAACCCGGAAAGGUCAGCCGAUACUGCGGGGCUAGAGUGCAGAAGGGGCAACUGGAAUUCUCGGUGUAGCGGUGAAAUGCGUAGUUAUCGAGAGGAACACCUGCGGCGAAGGCGGGUUGCUGGGCUGACACUGACGCUGAUGCGCGAAAGCUAGGGGAGCGAACGGG